CCUAGUUCACAAUAGUACAAUUCUUUUUCACAGAUGAUGCUAAUCACUCAGCUAUUCUUCCUAGUCAUUAAGUCCAUCACAUAAAUGAAACUAUUAUAUGUGGAUAAACUCCAAAGCUUCCUACCAAGCAGCAUAGUUAUUAACUACUCAUUUGUUAAAAUAAGGCUAUGUGAAAAUAAUCAUUGAUUUGUAAGAAACAGUUACUUCACGUAAACUGUAUUUUACUUUUAAAAGUAGAGGCAGGGGCCAGCACCGUGGCUCACUUGGUUAAUCCUCCGCCUGUGGCGCCGGCAUCCCAUAUGGGCACCAGUUCUAGCCCCGGUGCUCCUCUUCCACUCCAGCUCUCCUCUGUGGCCCAGGAAGGCAGUGUAGGAUGGCCCAAGUGCUUAGGCCCCUGCACCCACAAGGAAGACCAGGAAGAAGCAAGCACCUGGCUCCUGGUUUCGGAUUGGCGCAGUGCUGGCCGUAGUGGCUAUUUGGGGAGUUAACCAAUGGAAGGAAGACUUUUCUCUCUGUCUCUCUCUCUCACUGUCUGCAACUCUACCUGUCAAAUAAAAAAAAAGUAGAUGCAUGGUUCAUAUCUUUGAUAACAAAAGACAGGGAUCAUUCAUGAUGUAAAAUCUUUGUCUUUGACAGACUAUGUUAAUUCUUUCAAAUUAAUUAAAACCAGCCUACCUCUCCAGCUUCACUCUCUUGCCCUCUUAAAUCCAGCCCACCAGUCUUCUUUUAAUCCCGUAUGCUUUCCUUCAGAUUCCUCUCUGAAGUGCCUUAGCUCCUAAUUAUUCCUCUGCAAGGAAUGUAUAACUUAUUCCCUGCCACUCCCCUCCCCCAACCUACCCCAGGGUAAUUCUUCACCACAUCCUUCAGCUAUAAGUUUGAAAGUCACAUUCUCAUCAGAAAAGCCUUCUCUCACCUAUCUUUUUCAAAUCACCUAAUAUAUGUCUACUCGAUGGCAUUUCUCACAGUUUCAAUUUUAAAUGAUUUUGUGUGCUUUUUUAUUUAUAUUUUUUACUGCCCCAAAGAGUGAAAGUUCUUGAAAGGUGGGCAUAAUAUCUGAUUUUGUUCUCUAUAGCACAGUGAUUGGCAAAUGAAUGUUGCCUGAUAAAUGUUCAUAGAAAAAAAAAAAAAGGAACAAGCAGGCCAGUAAGAGAAGUGUUUCUUCUAUUGCCUUUGUUGCCAAUGAUGAGACAAAACAUGUUGAGAACUACACAUGUGCCAGGCACUGUAGUCAGUUUCUUACAGAAUCUGUUAUGUACAUGUAAUGAAAGUUACAUUGGCAAAUGACAAUCUUUUUCAGGAGUCAGUAUUUCAAUAUGUACAGUGAUGAAAUUAAACUAGAACAGAUGUCUCAAAUUUGAAUGUCCACAGCGGGCUAGAAGACUACUCAAGUGAACUGCAUACAUUUAGCGAACGUUAAGAACACAGUGAAGACAUGACAGCUCUAGAUGAUAACCACCAUGCAACAGGGCCCCAGACUCUACAGAGCUCAAGAUUUUUCAAGAUAACUUUCUGUUUGGUUUUUAAUGUAAUCCAAUCUUUAAAUAUGUAAUGUAAUUUAAUGUAAUCCAAUCUUUAAAUACGAGAAUGUUUUUGAAAAUAUUUAUGAAUCCCAAAAUAAAUUCAUUUCUAUCAGACUCAGAUGUCAGGAAACUCCAAUGAAAUCUGAAUACAAAGUCUCGUAAAGUGUGAUAGUUGAUUUUAUAGCAUCAACUUGAAUGGAUUAAGGAAUACUCAGUUCAGAAAAAGGGAGACCCUUAUUUUGAAUGUGUCUAUGAGGAUGUAUACAAAUGGGAUGAGCGUGUGAAUCUGAGCGGACUAGGUGGGCAGAUUUGGCUUUGGGGAAAGCAAGCACCAACAACUGGCUAGGGAUCUGGAGGAACCAGGUGCAGAAGAUGCACUGUUACCUUCUCUGAGAGCUAUGACUUGCCUGACUCCUGCCUUGGACAUCAGAUUCUGAUCCUUGUAGUCCAGGACCUUAUGCCAGCAGUCCCCUUGCUGGCACUCGGGCUUGGGCCUCAAACUGAGAGAACUACACCCACUGCUUUGGGACUGGAACUGAGCCAUGCUACUGACAUUCCAGGGUCUCCAGCCUGCAGUUAAGCUGCCCUGGGACUUCUCUUUUGCCAUAAAUAAAUCUCCCUUCAUAUAUCUCUAUUCAUAUCUUAUCAAUUCUGUGUUUUCUUGAGAACCUUGACUAAUACAUAAAGUUUCAACCAGCUCUGACUCUAUGAGAUUUAUUCCUUAAAAGAGUUUGCUAUUCUGCAUUUCAUGUGGGAAUUUUGAUAGCACAAUUUCUCUAAAAGGCUCAAGCCAAAGGCAGCUUCUCUUGUGACUUCUUUUGAGUCCCCCGAUAUAAUACCAAUGAUUUGUGUCAAGCGCAUUUCAGUUCUUACAAAAGCUACUUGAAGGUGCACCCUGGCUGGCGCGGUGGCUCAAUAGGCUAAUCCUACACCUGCGGCGCCGGCACACCAGGUUCUAGUCCCAGUCGGGGCGCCGGAUUCUAUCCCGGCUGCCCCUCUUCCAGUCAAGCUUUUUGCUGUGGCCCGGGAGUGCAGUGGAGGAUGGCCCAAGUCCUUGGGCCCUGCACCCACAUGGGAGACCAGGAGGAGCACCUGGCUCCUGGCUUCAGAUCAGCGGCAGUGCGCUGGCCGCAGCACACCGGCUGCGGCGGCCAUUAGAGGGUGAACCAAUGGUAAAGGAAGACCUUUCUCUCUGUCUCUCUCUCAUUGUCCAUUCUGCCUGUCAAAAAAUAAAAAUAAAUAAAUAAAAAAAGGUGUACCCUCUAUUUUACAUAGGACAAAACUGCUCAUGCCCUCCUUAAUGAAAAAAAAAACCAGUUCUUGGUUGAGGUAAGUUGAAUUAGCCUAACUGGGUCCCCAAAAAAGACAUUUUUUUCUUCUUGCUACAAGUUACCAAAAUAAUACAUGCAGAUUUUUUGAUACUCCCUGUCACUGAUUCCAUGGCAAAGCUAUAUAAGCUCAUUAAAGCUCUAAGUGAUGGCUGUAAAUUUCCCUAGAGAAAGGGAGAGGAAGUCAUAAUGAUGAUACACAGAACUGCAUGAAAUAAGGCAACAAGCAGCAAGAUGAAUAUUUUCCAGUUAGUAUAACACCUUCCGGGUUGAUUGUCUUUAAUUAGCAAGCACUGCAACAUUAUAUUUACUAGAGAAAAAUACACUGACUGAUAGCUCUUUUUAUGUUUGUCUUUGAUAGAAUACCAUUAACUAACAUCGUCAUUCCAUUACUCUGGAUGCCAAGAACACCACCACAUCAACAUAAAGCUAAGAUGCAGCCAUGAAACUCUGAAGCUUGAAGGAAGACAGAGAAAAUGAAGACAGAGAAAAGCCUUAAGGAUUGUACCAUGGGUACUCCAAUAUCUAGAAAGAGGUGAGGAGGAAGAAAAACAAAGCUGUGGGGAGCAAUCUGGACGGGACUAAGUUACUGGAAUUAGGACUUAUUCUAUGCAUCUGGUCUCCCACAAUAUGGCGCUGGGAGAGAAGAAAACAGCUUCUGCACAGCUGCCUCCAGUUCAGCCAAUAAACUGUAGGACUUGCUCCUGAUUGGAGGAGAGCAGCGUACUCGGCGUGUGGGCAGCCGAGUUAGGAUUGGCGGAGGAGGACUAUAAAGGGGGAGGGAGACGGCAUGCACCGGGAACAUCUAAGGGGAACAUCUAAGGGGAACGCCUGUGCAGCCCCCGAGAGAGCCGGCCGGCGGUGUGCUGCUCCCCUGCGGAAGUGGGGAAUGUGGCCAGGGGGAACCGCCCUUCCACGGAGGUGGAAGGGACAGUAGCCACCCCGGGAAGAACCAGCAGCAAACCCGGGGAGGGCCGAGCAGACGAAAGAACAGCGCAGGAUCCUGUGUCGUUCCUCCACGAAGACGGGGAGCGACACAAAGCCAAGGAAGGAAGGAAGGGAAGGAAAGAAAAAGUGCUUUGUGUUGUAAAGUAAAAUAUCAGAGUUCAUGUCACACAAUUUUAACUCAAAGUAUGAAUAAACAAAUUCAAAAUUUAUAAAAAGAGAAAAAGAAAAUAUGACCAGUAGACAUAUUUUAUUAUGCAAUCUUCAUUAUUUGGGAGCUAUUUUCUCAAAAAUUAACAGCAUGAUUCUUCAUAGAAAAUAGCAAAGAGUGUUUAUUGUCAGUGAGAAAAUUUGAAUUUUAAAUGAAAGCUCUAAAUUUAAAAAACUUUAUCUGUCACCAUGAAAUUUUCCCAAGACUUUCCAGAUGACAGCAAUGAUGUCAUGUGGCUUUUUGAUAUUUUAUAAUGAAAUAUGUCAACAUUUGGCAGAUCUAUUUAACUUAGUGAACUAACAUUUUCUAAGUAAUUAGCAUAUGAUGUUACAAAAUCAUACACUGGUGAAAAAUGUCCUUAAAGUAAGAGACCAGUGGAUUUUAAUGUAGCAGAAAAUGAAAAGUUUAUUUAGAUGGCUUCAAAUUUCUCAUUACAUCUGUCUUUUAAGAACCUAUUAUUAGUUUGAGUUUUGGUGCAAUUGUAUCAAAGAAGAAUAUCUGUAAUUAUUUGAAAGCUUUUAAAAUUAUUCUUCCUUUUUCAAUUAUAUAUCUGUAAGUAGGCAAUUUUCUUUAACUAGUUGGACCAAAACAACAUAUCACAACAGACAAUAUAAAGGAAGAUAUGAGAAUCUACCCUUCCAUUAGGCCAGGGAUUAUAGAUUUUCAAAGAAGUGAACAAUGUCAAUAUUAUAUUUGUUUCAUUUUUGAGAAUAUAACUGUUAUCUUAGAAAUUAUUUAUGCUAACAUGGAAUUAUUACUUUUAAUAAAUUUUAAAUGUGCCUAUUUUAAUUUUCAAUAAAAAUAAAUAAAAGCUUUUGAACUUCUUUGAGACCACAAAGUUCAAAAGUGCUGUCUUAGUGAAAACUCAACAGAAAUAAUGUGUAUCAGAACACUAUAGAAAAGCAUAAAAAUAUUCAUAAUAGCAUUGUUAGGAAUAUUUGUAAUACCAAAAUUCUCUCAAAAAUGCAGCAGUAGAAGAAUGGAUAAAUACAUUGUGGUGUAAUCAUGUCACAUGUUUCACGAAAAGACUGAAUAAGUAAUAAUUAUAUGAAAAAACAAGGUUAAAUCUCCAAGGAAUACAAUAUUAAAAUUAACUGUCCAAAACCAAAGUAAAUUACAGCUAAUUAUUUACGGGUAGAUGUUGUUAGGAGACAAUUCUUGGGUUUCUCACAGUUGUGCACAUCCUUGUACUGGAAUAUCGAGACUAUAAUUUUCAAGGAUUUUGGAGAGUGCGCAGCCUUUGAAGACAGAGAAGGUAGACUGUUCUUGAGCAAAGGGCUCAUGUGCUUACAGUCUAGAAACACGGGGGUAGUAGCUCCCUCUAAAGCAAAUUACUGACCAAAUUCACUAAAAGCUCAGAGUUUCUCUCUUUGUUGCAAGCUGUUGCCUGUGCAGGCAUUACAUUACUCAUUGAAUAUUUUUUUUAAAUUUUUAUAGACUUUUUUUUUUGAUAGGCAGAGUGGACAAUGAGAGAGAGAGAGAGAGAGACAGAGAGAAAGGUCUUCCUUUUUGCUGUUGGUUCACCCUCCAAUGGCCACUGGCUGGCGCACCUCGCUGAUCUGAAGUCAGGAGCCAGGUGCUCCUCCUGGUCUCCCAUGGGGUGCAGGGCCCAAGCACUUAGGCCAUCCUCCACUGCACUCCCGGGCCACAGCAGAGAGCUGGCCUAGAAGAGAGGCAACUGGGACAGAAUCCACCCCGACUGGGACUAGAACCUGGUGUGCCGGCGCCGCAGGCAGAGGAUUAGCCUAUUGAGCCGCGGCGCCAGCCACUCAUUGAAUAUUGAUCAUCUAUAGCCACAUAGGUACAAGAAUGCUGCUAAUCUGGCUACAGUUAAUGCUGUAGUAAACUGUGCUUUGUUUCUUAUGCAGGUUUCUCAUGUCUCUACCAGUACCGAUGAGUAACUUUGUUAACUUUCAAGUACAGUAAAUUUUCAGACCUUUCACAGGUCGGACAUUCAGUCAUCAAUAAAACAAUAUAUUUGAUGGUGAUGAUAACGACUUACAUUUGUUGAUUCUUUAAUAUCAAGAAAUUGACAAAUCUAUAUAGGAGACACCCCAAAAAUUAUGAUGUUAUAAAGAGACAAACUGUUCAGAAAGCUUCAAGGUGCAAGUGAUGGGAGCCGGCAUUUUAGGAUAAUGGGUAAAGCCACCACCUAAAGUGCAGGCAUCCCAUAUGGGCACUGGUUCAAAUCCUGGAUGCUCCACUUCUGAUCCAGCUCCCUGCUAAUGUGCCUGGGAAAGCAGAGGAAGAUGGCCCAAGUGCUUGGGCCCCUGUUCCUAUGUGGGAGACCUGGAGGAAGCUCCUGGAGGCUUCAGCCUGACCCACCCCUGGCCAUUGCAGCCAUUUGGGGAGUGAAUCUGCAGAUGGAAAAUCUGUCUCUCCCUCUCUACCUCUGCCUCUCCUUCUCUGUAACUCUGACGUUCAAAUAAAUAAAUCUUUUUUUAAAAAAAAGUUCAAGAGAUGAAGAAAGAGAAAGACAAAAAAAAAGGAAUGUGUUUACGGAUGAGAAUCUCUCUGAAAAAGAAUUUUUUUAAGAUUUAUUUAUUUAUAUGAAAGUCAGAGUUACACAGAGAGAGAACAGAGGCAGAGAGAGAGAGAGAGACAGAGAGAGAAAGAGAGAGAGGUCUUCCAUCCACUGCUUCAUUCCCCAAUUGGCAGCAAUGGCCUCAACUGCGCCAAUCCGAAACCAGGAGCCUGGAGCUUCUUCUGGGUCUCCCACAUGGGUGCAAGGGCCCUUGGGCCAUCCUCUACUGCUUUCCCAGGCCAUAACAGAGAGCUGGAUCAGAAGCAGAGCAGACGGGACUCAAACCUGCACCCACAUGGGAUGUCAGUACUGCAGACAGUGGUUUUUCCUGCUACGCCACAGUGCCAGCCCCAAGAAGAAAAUUUACACUAAGACCUAAAUGUUGAAAGAAGCAAAUCAUGUGAAUACAAAUAAAGGCUCAAAUCACAACAAUUUGAGAUGUUCAAAGAAAUGAAGAUAAUCUGGGGGUAGUGAGAAGAUGCCAGAGAAGUUGUGAGUAGAUACUUUGUAGACAGCCUUGAGUGCCUUGUAAAUGAGUCUAAAUUUUUUGCUGAGUGAAAUAACAAACCGAAAAACAGGUUUUCAACUCUAUUACAUUUACCCUUCACCAAAAGUAUUAGCUGCUGAAUAGUGAAUGGGUUAAGAGGAAAUAAGAAUGGAGGAAGAAGACAAACUAGGAAACUACUGAAGUGAACUACAAGAGAGAUGACAGUGAACUAGACAGGAGCUGAGGCAGUGCAGUGACGGAUACAUACAAGCACUGAGAAUAUUUGGAUAAAAGUUUCCAACAAAUUCUCAUCAAAUUUCAGAUGUAGAAGCUGAGGAACAAAAAAGACUGAAUACUCACAGGCUUGAUUCAUUUAAGAAGAUGGCAUUUGAUAAAAUGGUGAGGGUCCUUAAUGGUGGGUGAUUAAGACAGCAGAGGCUUCCAGCUGCCCACAAAUAUCCUAUCUCCUGUAUUAACAAGACCCUUAUAAUACAUGGUUCAGGAUUAUGCCCAAACAAAACAAAAUGAAACAUUCCCUAGCUUACUGUGGCCAAGAAUAUGAGGACAAUUCAAAGCUUGAUUAUCAUAUAAAUGGUAUAAUGUCCAUCUCACAAAGGUUUGCAUGAGUAUCAAAUAAGAUAACGCGUUCCUUUGAGGCUGGUGCUAUGGAAUCUCAUAUGGGCGCCGGUUUGAGUCCCAGCCACUCCACUUCUGAUCCAGCUCCCUACUAAUGCACCUGGGAGGGCAGCAGAGGAUGGCCCAAGUCCUUUGGCUCCUGUACCUACAUCGGAAACCAGGAAGAAGCUCCUGGCUCCUCUCUUCAGCUAGGUCCAGGCCAGCUCUGGCUGUUGCAGCCAUUUGGGGAGUGAAACAGUGAUGCAUGAUGGAUCUCUCUGUCUCUCUCUCUAACUAUGCCUUUCAAACAAACAAAAAAUAAAAAAGCAUAAGACAUCACAUAUAGCUUUCAUGAAAGCAUUUUCUCCAUUAAUACUUCCUGGAUGUGCCACUCAAAACUCCACAGUGUCCUGGUUCUCUCUCAUUGGAUUGAUGAAUGAAAAGGAAACCAAUUUAACACACUCUUAUAAAGAACAGUAAAAGAAUAGUAUUCUAAAGAAUGAAUGCUUUGUCACUAAAGGUGUUAA